GGGGGUAUGGGGCUGUUAGCUGCCCCACCUGGUCUGCAAAACCAGAGUCACGGUAAAAGGCGGGUCUCAUAAACCUGUUUCUUUGGAAGAAGCCGUGGUGGGUUCGAUUCCCACUACCCCUCUCCA
rnacentral:tRNA from 1 species